GGCGCGCCCUCUCUCCCGCCCACCUCCGCGCGCACUUCACCCGACCAGUCCCGGGGCGCAGACCCACCUCCUCCUCCAGGGUGCCGCCGGAGCCCGAGCCCGUGCCGGUGCCGGUGCCGGUGCUGUGCUCGUCGUCCGGCUUCAGGGGAUGGAAAAGAUUCAGAUGGCCUCACUCCUGAGAAAUGCUGCCCUAGGACCCACCCAGCAUCCUGAGGGUCUUUGGCUCCUGCCCCCAGGUUGCCCUUGCCGGCCCUCCCAGCCCCAGCUUGUACCUGGACGCCCUCCUCACUCUGCACCUUCCCAGGUGAGCUGGGGCUCUGCUUACCCAAUACAAGCCAGGGGAGGGAGGUGAGGGGCAGCCCGGGAGAAGUAUGCCGGGAGACCGUGAGGCUAAAGGAGGGAGCUGGAGCCAGGGGUGAGAGGCAUGGUCACGGCCCGCCCUGCAGGGCUUGUCUGGUACCUGGCAUUCACUCACUUCCCUCUUCAGUGUCUCCUUCCAAGCCUCUCCCCUUCCAUCGUGGCCCCUCCCAGCCGUUUAUGGCUCAGCGGGUGAUGCUCUUGGAAUCCUAAAGAAGUGGAGUUUUGAGUGUGGAAUUUCUGGGGCAAAGCUAGGGGCCAGAAGGCACCCCAUGUUUGCUCCUUUUUGCAAAGGCCCUGAACAUUGAGGUGAAGCCUCAGACACUGGGUGUCCACCCUGGCCUCACCAUCAGCCUUGAGACCUUGAGCUGCCCACCUGUGUCUGUCUCCUCCUCUGUAAAGUAGAUCUAAAGAUGGCCCUCAUACAUGCUUGAUGAGAAGAGGGACAGAGCUCUAGCCGGUUUGGCUCAGUGGACAGAGUCUCAGUCCUCGGACUGAAGGGUCUCGGGUUUGAUUUCUGUCAGGGACACGUACCUCA